GAUCUCGGUGUGGCCUCGGAGAAGUUACUCUCCCCCGUGUGUCCCGGUUUCGGCUCCAGCAUUACGGGCCACCGCGUGGGUCUGUUCACGAUGCAGCUGCGAUCCCUUAGGGCGGGAUCUGCCUCUGUUCUGACACAGGGGCGCACCUGUAGCCCAGGCCGUCCUGGAACUCACGAUCCCCCUGCCUCAGCCUCCGCUGGGACCCAUCCUCAGCCCCGUGAGACAGCUGAGGGAGCCCACCGACCCACGCGAGUUGUCCUCUGACCUCCGCACGCUCUCUCUUGUGCGCGUGCGCACACACAAAUAAAUAAGUAUUUAAA